rnacentral:rRNA from 1 species
AUACGGGAGGCAGCAGUAAGGGAUAUUGCGCAAUGGGCGAAAGCCUGACGCAGCAACGCCGCGUGGAGGAUGACGGCCUUCGGGUUGUAAACUCCUUUUGCCCCGGACGAGGAAGGACGGUACGGGGUGAAGAAGUCACGGCUAACUACGUGCCAGCAGCCGCGGUAAAACGUAGGUGGCAAGCGUUAUCCGGAUUUACUGGGCGUAAAGCGUGUGCAGGCGGUCAUUCAAGUGGUGUAUGAAAUCGCCCGGCUUAACCGGGUGAGGUUAGGCCAGACUGGAUGACUGGAGGACGGGAGAGGGGCGUGGAAUUCCGGGUGUAGUGGUGAAAUGCGUAGAGAUCCGGAGGAACCCCAGCGGCGAAGGCGGCGCCCUGGCCCGUUUCUGACGCUCAGACACGACAGCAUGGGGAGCGAACGGGAUUAGAUACCCGCGUAGUCCC